rnacentral:tRNA from 1 species
UCCCUGGUGGCUCAGAAGGUAAAGAAUCUGCUUGCAGUGCAGGAGACCCAGGUUCAAUCCCUGGGCUGGGAA